UUGAACGCUGGCGGCAGGCCUAACACAUGCAAGUCGAGCGGAUGAAGGGAGCUUGCUCCUGGAUUCAGCGGCGGACGGGUGAGUAAUGCCUAGGAAUCUGUCUGGUAGUGGGGGAUAACGUCCGGAAACGGGCGCUAAUACCGCAUACGUCCUGAGGGAGAAAGUGGGGGAUCUUCGGACCUCACGCUAUCAGAUGAGCCUAGGUCGGAUUAGCUAGUUGGUGGGGUAAAGGCCUACCAAGGCGACGAUCCGUAACUGGUCUGAGAGGAUGAUCAGUCACACUGGAACUGAGACACGGUCCAGACUCCUACGGGAGGCAGCAGUGGGGAAUAUUGGACAAUGGGCGAAAGCCUGAUCCAGCCAUGCCGCGUGUGUGAAGAAGGUCUUCGGAUUGUAAAGCACUUUAAGUUGGGAGGAAGGGCAGUAAGUUAAUACCUUGCUGUUUUGACGUUACCAACAGAAUAAGCACCGGCUAACUUCGUG
rnacentral:rRNA from 1 species